rnacentral:tRNA from 1 species
GCGCCUGUGGCUCAAAGAGUAGAGCACUGGCCCCAUAUGCCAGAGGUGGCGGGUUCAAACCCAGGCCCA